rnacentral:rRNA from 1 species
GUGCCAGCAGCCGCGGUAAGACAGAGGUCCCGAGCGUUAGGCGGAAUCACUGGGCUUAAAGCGUGUGUAGGCGGCGGCCUAAGUACCUUGUGAAAUCCCACGGCUCACCCGUGGAACUGCUCGGUAUACUGGGUCGCUUGAGCCACUUAGGGGCUACCGGAACAAAUGGUGGAGCGGUGAAAUGCGUAGAUAUCAUUUGGAACGCCAAUGGUGAAAACAGGUAGCUGGGAGUGUGCUGACGCUGAGACACGAAAGCCAGGGGAGCAAACGGGAUUAGAAACCCCAGUAGUCC